rnacentral:lncRNA from 1 species
UUAUUUUGCCAUAAUAUUUUAAGAUUUCGUGCUUUAAAAUGUUAGGGCUUUUUUUCCUGCAAUAUUUUAGGAUUUUGUGCUUCAAUUUUUUUUUUUGACAUCGUAUUUUAGGGAUUUUUGCUGUAAUUUUAGGCUUUUUUUUUCCAUAACAUUUUUGUGGGGUUUUUUUCCUAUAAUAUAUUAGGUUGGGUUUUUUUUGCUGCAAUAUUUUAGGUUUUUUUUGCCCUAGUGUUUUUGGUGUUUUGUGCUUUAACAUUUUAGUUUUUUUUUUCUGUAAUAUUUUAGUGGUUUUUUCCUGUAACAUUUCAGGGGUUGUUCUUGGUAUAAUUUUAUUUCCGGAUUUUUUUUCCCUGAUGUGUUUGGGGUUUUUCCCUGUAACAUUUCAGGGAUUUUUCUCUGCAUAAUUUUAUUUCAGGAUUUUUUUUCCCUAAUGUAUUUGGGUCUUUUCCCAUAAUAUUUUAGGUUUGUUUUUUAUUUUUGUCAUAUUUCAGGGUAUUUUUCUGUGGUAUCGUGGGCCCUUCCCCUCACACUCGCCGCCCCCGAUCCCUCCACCCCUGGGGUUGCCCCAAAUGAGGAUUUCCGUUGCGGGGGGUGUUUUUUUGCCCGUUUUCCCUGUUUUUCCAGGCGUACUGCGUGACGGAGCCGGGGGCGGGCUCGGACGUGGCCGGGAUCAAGACGAAGGCCGAGCGCAAGGGGGACGAGUACGUCAUCAACGGGCAGAAGAUGUGGAUCACCAACGGCGGCAAGGCCAACUGGUAUUUUUUACUGGCUCGGACGGAUCCGGACCCAAAAACCCCGGCCAGCAAAGCCUUCACCGGGUUCAUCGUGGAGGCCGACAGCCCCGGCAUCCAGGUCGGGAGGAAGGAGCUGAACAUGGGCCAGCGCUGCUCGGACACGCGGGGGAUCCUCUUCGAGGACGUGCGGGUGCCCAAGGAGAACGUCCUCCUGGGCGAGGGCGCCGGCUUCAAGAUCGCCAUGGGGGCCUUCGACAAGACCCGCCCCCCCGUGAGUCCCCACAGCCCCCCCAAAUUCCACAUUCCCUCCAAAAUCCCCAUUUGGGUUUGGUGUUUUUACCCCUUUUCCCCCGUUUCUCCCGUGGGCGCAGGUGGCGGCGGGCGCCGUGGGCCUGGCCAGAAGAGCCAUGGACGAGGCCACCAAGUACGCGCUGGAGAGGAAGACCUUCGGGAAACCCAUCGCUGAGGUGAGUUCAAAUGAAAAAAACCACAAUUCUGUAAAGAGAUCAAAAAAAGAAAAUGUCGAAAAUGGAUAUUUUCACCCGCUCCUGGGGAAUUUUCAGAUUUCCUUGAUAUUUAGGGUGUGAGGGUUUAUUUUCUCUCCGCCGUCGCUUGGGGUUUCUGCUAAAAUCUCAGUGUUGAGGAAGUUCUCAAUCCACAAAUUUUAGAGUCCUCAAUCUGUGAAUUUUAGAAUCCUCAAUCUGUGAAUUUUAGAAUCCUCCUCCACAAAUUUUAGAAUUCUUAAUCCAUGAGGUUUAGAAUUCUCAAUUUGUUACUUUCAGAAUUCUCAUCCCCAAAUUUCAGAAUUCUCAAUCUGUGAAUUUUAGAAUCUUCAAUCCCUGAAUUUCAGAAUCCUCACCCACAAAUUUUAGAAUCUUUAUCCACAGAUUUCAGACUCUUCGGUCUGUCAAUUUUAGAAUCCUCUAUUGUGACUUUUAGAAUGUGCAUCCACAAGUUUUAGAACUCUCAGUCCAGGAAUUUUAGAAUCCUCAUCCCCAAAUUUCAGAAUUCUCAAUCCAUGAAUAUUAGAAUCAUCAUCCAUGAACUUUAGAAUCCUCAAAUUCUAGAAUUCUCAUCGACAAAUUUCAGAAUUCUCAAUCCAUGGGUUUUGGAAUCCUCGAUACUCAAAUUUUAGAAUUUUUGAUACGUUUUAGAAUCCUCAAUACCUGGAUUUUAGAAUCCUCGAUUGUGGAUUUUUGAGUCCUCGAUUGUAAAUUUUUGAGUCCUUGAUGUGAAUUUUUGAGUCCUUGAUUGUGAAUCUCCUCUGACCCCUGUCCCAUCCAUCCCAU